AGUGGAUGGGGAGCAACAAAAGUUGUGUGUGUGUAAAGGUAGUGCCAAGAAAAGCUGAGUUGAUGUUGAACAAAAGAUUCCGGUACCCGAAACCGACACGGGUAGGCAAGUAGAGAAUACUAAGGGGCGCGAGGUAACUCUCUCCAAGGAACUCGGCAAAAUGACCCCGUAACUUCGGGAGAAGGGGUGCCACCGAGAGGUGGUCGCAGUGAAGAGUCCCAGGCGACUGUUUAGCAAAAACAUAGGUCUCUGCAAACUCGAAAGAGGAGGUAUAGGGGCUGACGCCUGCCCAGUGCCGGAAGGUUAAAGAAGUUGGUCAGUCGAAAGAUGAAGCUAACGACUGAAGCCCCGGUGAACGGCGGCCGUAACUAUAACGGUCCUAAGGUAGCGAAAUUCCUUGUCGGGUAAGUUCCGACCCGCACGAAAGGCGUAACGAUCUGGGAGCUGUCUCGGAGAGAGGCUCGGCGAAAUAGGAUUGUCUGUGAAGAUACGGACUACCCGCAUUUGGACAGAAAGACCCUAUGAAGCUUUACUGUAGCUUGGAAUUGUGUUCGGGCUUGCUGUGCGCAGGAUAGGUGGGAGGCUAUGAAGGUAUGCUUGUGGGUGUACUGGAGCCGUCAGUGAGAUACCACUCUCAGGGGGCUAGAAUUCUAACUAAAGAAAGGACAGUUUCAGGUGGGCAGUUUGACUGGGGCGGUCGCCUCCAAAAAGGUAACGGAGGCGUACAAAGGUUCCUUCAGACUGGUUGGAAAUCAGUCCAGAGUGCAAAGGCAGAAAGGAGCUUGACUGCGAGAAUUACAGUUCGAGCAGGGUGGAAACACGGUCUUAGUGAUCCGACGGUGCUGUGUGGAAGGGCCGUCGCUCAACGGAUAAAAGUUACUCUAGGAUAACAGGCUGAUCUCCCCCAAGAGUUCACAUCGACGGGGAGGUUUGGCACCUCGAUGUCGGCUCAUCGCAACCUGGGGCGGAAGUACGUCCCAAGGGUUGGGCUGUUCGCCCAUUAAAGCGGUACGUGAGCUGGGUUCAGAACGUCGUGAGACAGUUCGGUCCAUAUCCGAUGUAGGCGAGAGAAUAUUGAGAGGAGCCUUCCUUAGUACGAGAGGACCGGGAAGGACGCACCGCUGGUGUACCUGUUAUGAUGCCAAUUGUAAACGCAGGGUAGCCAAGUGCGGAGAGGAUAACCGCUGAAAGCAUCUAAGUGGGAAGCCCACCUCAAGAUGAGUAUUCUGUGUUAAGGUCACGGGAAGACGACCCGUAAAUAGGCACGAGGUGGAAGUGCAGUAAUGUAUGAAGCCGAAGUGUACUAAUAGACCGUCAGCUUGACC
rnacentral:rRNA from 1 species